GCUGGGCAUGGUGGCACAUGCCUGUAAUCCCAGUAACUUGGGAGGCUGAGGCUGGAGAAUCUUAAAUUCAUGGCCAUCCUCUGCAAAUUAGCGAGAUCCUUAAGCAAUUCAGUGAGACCCUGUCUCAA
rnacentral:sRNA from 1 species